UACGUAGGGUGCAAGCGUUGUCCGGAAUUAUUGGGCGUAAAGAGCUCGUAGGCGGUUUGUCGCGUCUGCUGUGAAAUCCCAGGGCUUAACCCUGGGCCUGCAGUGGGUACGGGCAAACUAGAGUGCGGUAGGGGAGAUCGGAAUUCCUGGUGUAGCGGUGGAAUGCGCAGAUAUCAGGAGGAACACCGGUGGCGAAGGCGGGUCUCUGGGGCAGUAACUGACGCUGAGGAGCGAAAGCGUGGGGAGCGAACAGG
rnacentral:rRNA from 1 species